UCUAACUACGAGCGAGGAGGCGUGGUAAGAGGAGGGUGGCAAGUGGUACGCGGAAUUACUAGGCGGAAAGGGCAGGGAGGUGGUUUGGUAAGUCUGUUGGGUAAGCUCCUGGCUUAACCGGGAGAGGUCAACAGAAACUACCAGGCUUGAGUAUAGGAGAGGGUACUGGAAUUCCCGGUGUAGCGGUGAAAUGCGCAGAGAUCGGGAGGAACACCAAUGGCGAAAGCAGGUACCUGGACUAUUACUGACACUAAGCUGCGAAAGCUAGGGGAGCAAACAGGAUUAGAUACCCCGGUAGUC
rnacentral:rRNA from 1 species